rnacentral:rRNA from 1 species
ACCAUCCCCCAUACUUCGGCGGGCGAUAUAGAGGGAAUGAUCUUCUAGCGAUAGAGGAUCCUCCCUCUGUCCCAGCUCGCCGGCAUUACAAAACCUCAAGCUAUAACAGUGCUGUCUGAGCAUUUGCAAGCAAAAGAAUAAAAACUUUCAACAACGGAUCUCUUGGUUCUGGCAUCGAUGAAGAACGCAGCGAAAUGCGAUAAGUAAUGUGAAUUGCAGAAUUCAGUGAAUCAUCGAAUCUUUGAACGCACAUUGCGCCCUCUGGUAUUCCGGAGGGCACACCUGUUCGAGCGCUAGUACAACAAUCAAGCUCAGCUUGGUGUUGGAUCUGGCCCUUUCCUCGGAAGGGACCUUUCCAAAACUCAUGGGCGCCGCCGUCCGGCUCCAAGCGUAGCAAGCGAAAGCCCUCGCUUUGGAUAGUCGGGUCGAUGGCCGCCGGUAAACACUUGGGGUAACCCAAAUUACUACAGUUUAGCCUCGGAUCAGGUGGGGAUACCCGCUGAACUUAAGCAUAUCAAUAAGCGGAGGAAAAGAAACCAACAGGGAUUGCCUUAGUAACGGCGAGUGAAGCGGCAAUAGCUCAAAUUUGAAAUCUGGCGCCUUCGGCGUCCGAGUUGUAAUUUGUAGAGGAUGCUUCAGACACGGCGCCGGCCGAAGUUCUUUGGAACAGGACGUCAGAGAGGGUGAGAACCCCGUAUGCGUUCGGCGUGCAGUUGUCUAUGUGAAGCUCCUUCGAAGAGUCGAGUUGUUUGGGAAUGCAGCUCUAAAUGGGAGGUAAAUUCCUUCUAAAGCUAAAUACUGGCCAGAGACCGAUAGCGCACAAGUAGAGUGAUCGAAAGAUGAAAAGCACUUUGAAAAGAGAGUUAAAAAGUACGUGAAAUUGUUGAAAGGGAAGCGCUUGCGACCAGACUCGUCCGUAGAGGUAGCGUUCGCCGUCAGGCGGGCGUAGACGCUUCUACGGCCGGGCCAGCAUCGGUUUGGGCGACCGGAUAAAGGCCCUAGGAAUGUGGCCC